UUUAUGUUAGAAAUCUGGAAAUUUUAGAGAAUUGUUGAAAUAGGAUUUUAUUUCUUAAGCUUUGUUUUCGUGAGCGUCAUCUUUGGUGCGACAUGUUAUGUAUAUCUUUAGGAAACCAGAAUGUUUAGAGUUUUAAUACUCGGUUGGGUUGUUGGCAGGCCGAGAAGAAUUAAACCGAGCUUAUAGACCAAGGAUCUAGCCCAAGACUGUAGAGAUCGAGUUCUCGGUGCCUGAUAGACUGCCUUAGUCUGCGGAAGCUUCAUUAUCGAUUGCCAGUACGUGUUUUGAGUUGGGCAUAGAGUCUGUUGUGUUGUGAUGUAUAUACACCCUUGUAUGUUAUAGAUACUCCACAGUUUGUAUAAGCUUUAGGAGCUGUAGUUGUGUAAAUUUUGUUGGUUAUAUUUUGAUUAAGGUGUCUUUAGGUUUA